rnacentral:rRNA from 1 species
GUCGAAAGACGGACUUAGUGAUCCGGUGGUUCCGCAUGGAAGGGCCAUCGCUCAACGGAUAAAAGCUACCCCGGGGAUAACAGGCUUAUCUCCCCCAAGAGUUCACAUCGACGGGGAGGUUUGGCACCUCGAUGUCGGCUCAUCGCAUCCUGGGGCUGUAGUCGGUCCCAAGGGUUGGGCUGUUCGCCCAUUAAAGCGGUACGCGAGCUGGGUUCAGAACGUCGUGAGACAGUUCGGUCCCUAUCCGUCGUGGGCGUAGGAAAUUUGAGAGGAGCUGUCCUUAGUACGAGAGGACCGGGAUGGACAUACCUCUGGUGUACCAGUUGUCGUGCCAACGGCAUAGCUGGGUAGCUAUGUAUGGACGGGAUAAGUGCUGAAAGCAUCUAAGCAUGAAGCCCCCCUCGAGAUGAGAUUUCCCAACUUCGGUUAUAAGAUCCCUCAAAGAUGAUGAGGUGAAUAGGUUCGAGGUGGAAGCGUAGCGAUACGUGGAGCUGACGAAUACUA